CCGCACUCAACCACUCCCCCUCCUCCUUUUAACCCCAUCCGCGUGCCUGGAAACCCUAGCCUCUCUCCCAUCCACGCCGCCGCCACCUACCUUCCUCCACCCUUCCUCUUUUUCUCUUCUCUGUGAGCAAACGAAGGGAAAACCCCACAGCACCGCCACUGCCCCGCCAUGGCGCCACCGCUCCACACCUCCCCUCGCCGUUCUGAGGGCAUCGUUCGAUGCGCCUCGUCAUCCUCUACCUCCUGGUGCGAGGAAUCGUCCCGAGAGGCCCCGAGUUGAGCGCAAGGUCGCCGAUUCUUCGCGCCGGACUUCAUGCUUCCUCUCCGAUUCCGGUCGCCCUCGUCCUCCUCCGGCCACACCGAGCACACCUCCAGCUUCCCCAUGUUCAGGCGCACCCCCGACGCCAUCUCGCCCAUCCUCGUUCGUCCCAUCUCCAUCGUUCCCGAGCUCGUCUGCGAGCUCCGCCAUGGGUGUUCUUCCUAGUGAUUCCGCGGUGGUCUGUUCAAAAGGAGACGCGCUCCGAUCCGUUCAACAGCUGUACCACAACACAGUGAUCUCGCAGCCAGAGAUCCUUCUUUACCUUCGGAGCCCUUCUGAAUUCAACAGCUACAAGUAGCCAAGCUGAUCGGCAGAUGGGCCUCAGCCAAGGUCUAUCCGGCGCAGCUCCUCGCCCGCGCAGCCCGUAGCUCCCCAUCACCGCUUGCACGCCGAACUGGGCCGGCCCACGCGCGCCAGACCUUCCUCCCGCCGGCCAGCCUUUGCUUCUUUCUGGAUAGGAUCACGAAGUGUUGAUGUGAGAUACGAUGAGUUCUCCGACAAGUUCUUCUGCAGCUUUUCACAGGCGAGCCCUCUCUCUUCACCUAUUAUACACUCUCCCUCGCAUUGCUAUCCUUAUGUUGCGCUUCUUUAUCGAGUCACGUGUCCUAUUCCACUUGUUUACCAUAAUAAUCAUAUAUGUAUCAUUCCUUACCCAUAGCCGUUGCUUGAUGUUUGAGCCUUGCGAGUCGUAGGCGUGUUUAGGCUCUGUUGUUUAUCUCGAUCUGUUAUCGGGAUAUGAUGGGUUGUUGGGAGGUUAUCACAUGCUAUAUUAGUUGUUGGAGAUACACCUGCUUUACUUAAUUGUUAAAAACUUAAAUUGUAAGCAGAGGCAUCUGUGAGCCCUUUGCGAAAGCAUCGGAACUUUGACUCGCUAAUGUCCCCUAGGACCCGAGUUCUUGUUAUCUGUUCCGAGAUUGAGCGCUCUACCCAUGCGUGGGGACGAUUAUUGGGACCCCCCCUCACCCAUUACCUUUUCUCAAGUUAGUUGAAAAGGGGGCCACAACCUUGGUUUUAUUUUCCUAUGCCAUGUAUGCCAUGCUUUACUUACUGUUGCCUUCGGGUGUUUAUAUUCUGUACUGUACCCCUCGGGACGUUUAGCGAAGCGUGUGGUUUGCACGCCUAGCUGCCGACGCAAACCCUGAGUCCAUAUCGGAGUACGGCCGAACUUCGUCACGGGGAGCUUAGUCGGGUGGCCCCCUAGACUUUCUUGUUGAACUGGGAAUGGUCUUGUUGUGAGACAUCCACCUGUCGUAAGUGGGUCGAGCACGCGUAUGGUUACAUUUGGGCAACCCCUGCAGGGUGUACAUCUUAUCGAUAAGCCGUGUCCGCGGUUAUGGACGACUUGGAAUUGUAAAGCUUGAUCAUAGAACAACUUACACUGUUAUCUUAUUGCUAAUAAUCUGCUAAUAACUUGCGUAGUAAUAUAGCAUUACUACAACCGACACCUAUCUGUUACCUUAUGCGCUCUCUCACCUUCUCUGAUUAGACGAAUGUUGUAGAGUGUCUCUAUAGGUUUUUAGUGCUUGCGCUGCCGCUUAACCCCACCAUAUUGCCUAUGACGUUCCUCUUGCGUCCUCUAAGUCCCCUACGUGCCUCAAGUACAAAGGACGACUGGUUGACGAAUGCUUAUACGUCUUGAAGUCUUGUUAAGUACGAACCCGUACUUAUUGCUGCUUCUACGUGAUAUAACCGGGCAGGUAUGAAGAUAUGUUCGAAGAAGACGACGUUAGCAAGGUUACCCUUCCGGCUUGGCCUGGGCAGGGUUAUGGACGCCACUGGUUAUCUUCAGGACUCUUAGUCCAAUUUGUAUCUUGUCCGUACUCGGAUGUAUUCGAUCUUCGGUAUGAUUUGGAUCUUUGUAUUGUAUAUUCGUAUCUUGACUCGUUGGAGUCGUUGUUGUAAUAUAUGUAUCUUGUGGGCUCUAUUGUAAUCCUGUUGUAAUGUUACCGCUCGUGUUAAUUCCUCUGGCAUCACGUGUGUGAUUCUUCGCGCACGUCGUGUCGGAGGGCGUCUCUGAAUUGAUAUCGUGCGGAUUUCGGUGGGAUUGCUGGAAUCCUCAGGAUACCGGUUCCGGGGCGUCACAAGCGGCCUCAAGAUGGAGCUCAAGGUCAAGCUCAAGGUCUACCUCAACGUGAAGAAGGGCCGCUACCCGAGAAGGAUCAAGCCAAGGCUCCCGUUGCGGAGAAAUCAAGUGAGAAGAAGGGGAGGAGAAGAAGAUGCUACAUAUGCCGUGAGAAGGGCCACAUCUCCUCCUUUUGCACAAGUGGUAACUCAUCCAACCCUAUCUUGAUCCAUGGUGCUUACUCUCUACAUAAGGAUAAGGUUGGCGAUGUGUUUGCCAAAUAUGUUGGCACUCAAAGUGGUUUCGCACAAAGAACCAUUUGGGUUGCCAAGCCUAUUGCGACUAACUUCUUAGGACCCAACUUAGUUGGGGACCAACAAGCCAAAACUUGAUCAAUAGGUACAAGUGGAGGGCAUGGAGGCUUGACUAGUUCAUGAAGACUUAGGGGAUCUUCAUCAUUUUCACUUCCUCAAGUCAAGUUGUAUUCCUCUUAUCCUUUACCCAUGCUCCUCCUUGCGGUAACGAGUCCUCAACUCCUUUACAUUGAAAGUUACUCGCUCCCCUUUUACAUGUGUUGGUUUUGUGCCUUGCAUGUGAUUGUGUAUGUUGUGCUUCCUACUUGCUUAUCUUGUUUCUUUUUUAUGUUGGGUGGCACACCAUGUACAAUUGUUCUUUGUUGAGCCUAUUGCAUCUUGUUCAUAUCUUAGUUGUUGGCUCAUGUGAGAAAUUAAUGGACUAUCCCAUUUUGGGGGAGUGAUAUGCUCCGUGCAUUUCACAAUCCUAAAAUGUGUGACAUGAUGAAUUAAAAUCCUAUAAUGUCCAUUAAUUAUCUCACUUGGUUCCUUUUUGCCUCUUGCACGGAAAAUGUCUUUAUCACAUUAUGGGGGAGUAUUGUGCCGUGUGCAUUUUACAAGCCUAGAAAAUGUGAACAUUUGAGGUUGUGUCACAUAGAGUUGAUAUUAUAGACUAUCUUGUUCCUAUGUGACAUGUGUGCUCAAACAAAUCCCACUUUACCAUUUGCCUUCUUGUUGUGAAGAUAAUCUUGGGCAUACUCACAAACUACAUAUGGAUAUUUCCUAUACACCUCUUGUCCUUUGACAAUUGGUAAUAAAUUGUGUAGUAUUGUGCCCGAUCAUCCUCACACUUGGCUCAUGUGCUCAAUUGCUUCAUUUCUUGCCAAGAAUUUGUCCUUGUGGGUUAGACUCCCAUUUGUCUUCCUUGCUUCUUUUGGAUCUCCUUAUUUCUCUUGAACCUUGUUGGUGUUUCGACAAACAUGAUUGAGCAAAUCCCGCAUUUGUGCAUUUUGUAUUCAAAUGCAACAUUCUAAAUAGUGCACUAAUUUUGGGGGAGCUCUCCUAUGUUUGCUAGAACACUCCCUUGAUUCAAGAAUUUGAUCUUGGAAGACAAACCCUUUCUUUUCGGUACUUUUGUGCCAUCAUGAAAAGUGCUGAGGGUUUGGUUUAUUUUAAACCUUGCUUUCUUUGGGAGUGAGUUAUCUCAUUUCUUAUAUUUGGCUUAGAUUCUUAAAAUGAGAUAAGUCCUUGAGCAUGCUUGUUUUGGAUAUCUUGCUCUAUCUUUCUUGUACCUAUCUUGUGUGUGCAUGUUUCUUUGUGAAUAAAUGUCUUCGUGAUGUUGUCCACUUAGAGAAACUUAUACACAUAAGAAAUGGUGCAUAUCUUUUGAUAUCCCUCUUUGUUGGAGUCUAUUCCUUCAUUCUUAUUUCACUCUUUAAUGACUUCACAAAGAACUUGGCUAUGAGUGCUCAUUUUAUAUCAUUUGCAUCUUCAAGCACUCAUAGUUGAUUUUGGCACAUGCUUUGAGUGGUUUUGUGGGAGUAAUGAUGCCAUGAUUGUGCAUCUUAUUCUUCAAUGUAAAUUGUUUAUCUUGUGCACAAACUUUGGCGAGCUUCCACAUAUUACUUAGAGCAUAGUGUUGGUUCAUUGAUUGCUUGCUUCAUAGUGUCUCACCUUCAUAUCCUCUUGCAAUCUUUGAUCCUCAAUAUAGUUUGAUUUCCUCCAAAUAUUCGUCAUUGAAUAUGUGCAUUUGAUUUCACUCACAAUUAUGAGAAAUGCACAACUUAUGGAGGAACGCUCACUAUAUUGGCCUUUCAAACCUUUCGUCCAUUUUGGCAACCGAUGCCAACGGGGGAGAAGUUUGGAGGGUUUAAGGGAAUUGCUUUUGAUUGGUUCUUAAGCAUAUUGCCUUUCAUGCCUUGCAUUCAUUGCUUUGCAUGGUUGAAUAUUUAGAGGAUACUCCGCUAGGCUUUAAUUGCCGGUAUAUGCAAUGAAAUUCAAGUUCAUUCACACAUGCAUAUAUUAUGGGGGAGUUUGUUCUAAAUAUUCAACUUGGGUUGUUCGCUAAAUUCCAUAUCUAAACCCUCUCAAAGAGAUUGUCAUCAAUUACCAAAAUGGGGGAGAUUGUAAGAGCAUGUCCUUUACCCCAUGUGUGGUUUUGGUAAUUGAUGACAAUCCCUAUGGACUAAUGGUUGCAUUGAGAAUCAAUCUUAGGUCAAGUCCAUAGUCAUGUUGGACUCAAGGUUGUAAGAUGGAGAAGACGGAGUACAAUGAUGAAGAUGGUGUCGAAGAGAGACAAAGACGGUGUUGAAGAUGAAGAGAGAAGACGACGUAGAAGAUGAAGAGAGAAGACGGCGUUGAAGACGGUGGUGUGUGUACAAGAUGGAAGAAGACGGUGGCGUGUAUAUUGAAGGAAGACGGUGGCAUGAACAAUCAUGAAGAGUAUGGAGGCGGAGCUUGCCGACUCGAGAAGAACGUGCAAGGACUAGGUUUGUGCUCGAUAGGAUAGUGGGUCGUAUCAUCGGAGAGAGCUCAAACCUUGCAUGCAUUGCAUCGCGUUCUUGGUUCUUCUUGGUUCUUAUGCAUGAAACGGAUUUCCCGUUGCAUCGCAUGUUGCAUAUGCGAGAGUGAUGAUUUUCCCGAUAUACCAUAUUGAGAGGUUACACCUCUAUGACCAUGAGCAAAUCAUCACUCACUCAUUUGCAUGAUUUCACCUUGUAAAGAUGUAGCUCUUGUCGCCCUCUUUCCAACAAAACUGGUUUCAUGUCA